ACUUAUCGAUCCUCCAUGAAUGUAGAGAUGGUGGAUGUUCGGUAUUUUGGAAGAGGUGGAGGAUGAGGCCGGUGAGAGGCUCUUUAACCAUGGAACAAGAGAAUUGCCUUCGGUGCCGCUAGCUGUAUUCUUGGUGUUUGUGACCAAGGUCGAGGACUCAGGACUUGCCAAGGUCGACGAGGCCGGGCUUGGGUUGUAUGAGAUACAAGGACUUGGCUGGUGGGAUGAUGAACGAGGGCUUGGCGAAGCCGAGGGUCCAACAACAUCUCUGCCUUCUGUUGGCUUGCAUCCCUGCACGUUCACAGAUGGAAGGUCGAUGUUUCAGUACAAUUGCCAUUUGAAUUGUCUGCAAAAGGACUUAAGAGAGAGGAUAUUGAUCUAAGCAUCAACCUAGUUAUAUACUUUGGCAGUCAGUACAAGGAAAGAACUAUUUGGUGGACUAGCUCACAUUUUACACCAUAAAGAAGUAACACUUAAUGGGAGAUAUGCUGAAGGAAACCUCAAAUUUUCAAUUUUUUGUCCUAGAGAACCCCAAUUAUCAGAACAUGCCACAGAGGCAGUUAAAUUCACACCUGAAUGUGAGCAUCAAUGCCAGCAAAGCACCGAUCAAGGAA
rnacentral:lncRNA from 1 species